AGAGUUUGAUCCUGGCUCAGAUUAUUUAACGCUGGCGGCAGGCCUAACACAUGCAAGUCGAGCGGAAACGACACUAACAAUCCUUCGGGUGCGUUAAUGGGCGUCGAGCGGCGGACGGGUGAGUAAUGCCUAGGAAAUUGCCUUGAUGUGGGGGAUAACCAUUGGAAACGAUGGCUAAUACCGCAUGAUGCCUACGGGCCAAAGAGGGGGACCUUCGGGCCUCUCGCGUCAAGAUAUGCCUAGGUGGGAUUAGCUAGUUGGUGAGGUAAUGGCUCACCAAGGCGACGAUCCCUAGCUGGUCUGAGAGGAUGAUCAGCCACACUGGAACUGAGACACGGUCCAGACUCCUACGGGAGGCAGCAGUGGGGAAUAUUGCACAAUGGGCGAAAGCCUGAUGCAGCCAUGCCGCGUGUAUGAAGAAGGCCUUCGGGUUGUAAAGUACUUUCAGUUGUGAGGAAGGGUGUGUAGUUAAUAGCUGCGCAUCUUGACGUUAGCAACAGAAGAAGCACCGGCUAACUCCGUGCCAGCAGCCGCGGUAAUACGGAGGGUGCGAGCGUUAAUCGGAAUUACUGGGCGUAAAGCGCAUGCAGGUGGUUCAUUAAGUCAGAUGUGAAAGCCCGGGGCUCAACCUCGGAACUGCAUUUGAAACUGGUGAACUAGAGUACUGUAGAGGGGGGUAGAAUUUCAGUGUAGCGGUGAAAUGCGUAGAGAUCUGAAGGAAUACCAGUGGCGAAGCGGCCCCCUGGACAGAUACUGACACUCAGAUGCGAAAGCGUGGGGAGCAAACAGGUUAGAUACCCUGGUAGUCCACGCCGUAAACGAUGUCUACUUGGAGGUUGUGGCCUUGAGCCGUGGCUUUCGGAGCUAACGCGUUAAGUAGACCGCCUGGGGGAGUACGGUCGCAAGAUUAAACUCAAAUGAAUUGACGGGGGG
rnacentral:rRNA from 1 species